GUCCCCGUAGCUCAGCAGGAUAGAGCGGUCGCCUCCUAAGCGACAGGUCAGACGUUCGAAUCGUCCCGGGGAUGCCA
rnacentral:tRNA from 2 species